GGACACUAUGUACUGUGUUGGUGUGGUGUCUCCUCCCAGAUCAGGACACUAUGUACUGUGUUGGUGUGGUGUCUCUUCCCAGAUUAGGGCACCAUGUACUGUGGUUGUGUGGUGUCUAUGACCUCCCAGAUCAGGACACCAUGUACUGUGUUGGUGUGGUGUCUCCUCCCAGAUCAGGACACUAUGUACUGUGUUGGUGUGUUGUGGGUAUUGAGAUUAGGUUAGCGUGAAGGCCAGAUGUAUUGUGGGUAUUGAGAUUAGGUUAGCGUGAAGGCCAGAUGUAUUGUGGGUAUUGAGAUUAGGUUAGCGUGAAGGCCAGAUGUAUUGUGGGUAUUGAGAUUAGGUUAGCGUGA
ensembl:lncRNA